rnacentral:rRNA from 1 species
GACGAACGCUGGCGGCGUGCCUAAUACAUGCAAGUCGAGCGGACCUCUUCGGAGGUCAGCGGCGGACGGGUGAGUAACACGUGGGCAACCUGCCUGUAAGACUGGGAUAACUCCGGGAAACCGGAGCUAAUACCGGAUACUAUGUCAAACCGCAUGGUUUGACAUUCAAAGACGGUUUCGGCUGUCACUUACAGAUGGGCCCGCGGCGCAUUAGCUAGUUGGUGAGGUAACGGCUCACCAAGGGGACGAUGCGUAGCCGAGCUGAGAGGGUGAUCGGCCACACUGGGACUGAGACACGGCCCAGACUCCUACGGGAGGCAGCAGUAGGGAAUCUUCCGCAAUGGACGAAAGUCUGACGGAGCAACGCCGCGUGAGUGAUGAAGGUUUUCGGAUCGUAAAACUCUGUUGUCAGGGAAGAACAAGUGCCGGAGUAACUGCCGGCGCCUUGACGGUACCUGACCAGAAAGCCACGGCUAACUACGUGCCAGCCGCCGCCGUAACAC